UGGGGAAUAUUGCACAAUGGGGGAAACCCUGAUGCAGCGACGCCGCGUGAGCGAAGAAGGCUUUCGAGUCGUAAAGCUCUGUCCUAUGAGAAGAUAAUGACGGUAUCAUAGGAGGAAGCCCUGGCUAAAUACGUGCCAGCAGCCGCGGUAAUACGUAUGGGGCGAGCGUUGUCCGGAAUUAUUGGGCGUAAAGGGUACGUAGGCGGUUUUUUAAGUCAGGUGUCAAAGUGUGGAGCUUAACUCCAUUAAGCACUUGAAACUGAAAGACUUGAGUGAAGGAGAGGAAAGUGGAAUUCCUAGUGUAGCGGUGAAAUGCGUAGAUAUUAGGAGGAAUACCGGUGGCGAAGGCGACUUACUGGGCUCAUUCUGACGCUGAGGAACGAAAGCGUGGGUAGCAAACAGG
rnacentral:rRNA from 1 species